CCUACGGGAGGCAGCAGUGAGGAAUAUUGGUCAAUGGGCGCAAGCCUGAACCAGCCAAGUCGCGUGAGGGAUGACGGUCCUAUGGAUUGUAAACCUCUUUUGUCGGGGAGCAAGGCCCGCCACGUGUGGCGGGAAGGAGAGUACCCGAAGAAAAAGCAUCGGCUAACUCCGGGCCAGCAGCCGCGGUAAUACGGGGGAUGCGAGCGUUAUCCGGAUUUAGUGGGUUUAAAGGGUGCGUAGGCGGAAGGUUAAGUCAGGGGUAAAAUGUCGGUGCCCAAAACCGGCCUGCCGUUGAAACUGGUCGUCUGGAGUGAGCGAGAAGUAUGCGGAAUGCGGGGUGUAGCGGGGAAAUGCAUAGAGAGCACGCAGAACUCCGAUUGCGAAGGCAGCAUACCGGCGCUCAACUGACGCUGAGGCACGAAAGCGUGGGGAUCGAACAGGAUUAGAUACCCCGGUAGUC
rnacentral:rRNA from 1 species